UCCUGCAAGGAAAAAAAAAAAAAAUCAUCCCAGCUCAUCUAGAAAAUCCCCAGCUGGAAGCUCUCCAUUCCCCAGCUGAGGCAGAAUCAUGUGAACUCCAAUCUGGUGUCAGGCUGGGCGGUUGCUGAGGAACCCGCCAGCGGGAGGAUGCGGGUGGGCAGGCAGGCAGCAGAGAGAUCCCUUUACACACCCUCCAUUCUCUUAGGCUUUCUACAUGCUUCAGGGGGAGUCAGGGAGCAGCCUCUGGGAAAACAGAGCCUUGACUUAAGACAGGUGCUCAGCAAAAGUUGAGUACCCAAAUUUUAGCUAGCACCACCUUAGGCACAUGCUAGACGCCAGGAGACACAGAACAUUGAAACCCACUCCUGGAGUUUUCUCUGAAGCCCCUCAGGUCUGUGGUUGAUGGCUGGCAAACUAGCAAUGGGUAAGGACAGGAAAACUGACUGUUGGCAUUCCUAACCUCAAACCCCUUCCUCGGUUAGUGGGUCUCAGCCCUGGCCACAUUUGUAAGAAAACACUUGGAGCCUUUUUUUUUUUUUAAUGUAUGCAAUGGCAGGCUCUAUACCAGCCAAACUGAAUUGUCCGGACAUCAGUGUUCUGCCAAGUUCCCUAGUCAACACUAAAAUGGAUGUGCAAGUUGAACCUUCUCUACAGACCCACAGAGCAGUGGUGUCAGGGUCAAAGCUCCAAGCGCAGAGCCCUGCCAGCUUACUACACUGGCUAAACUGUAGAAGGUUCUCCAGUCCAGCCCCUCAGUUAUAUGUGGAAGAGCUCAAGCUCCAUGGGCCAGAAUUUCAUGGAUGGAGCCUAAGCACUAAAAGAUGACUAUGACUGAGCUGUGACUGAAGUCUGAGGCUGAUGUCAGGGGCCUUAUUCUCUCGGCUUAGCUAUUUCCUUCCAAAGCAGGGUCCUUGAAAACCCAUCUUGCACACAGUACAUCUGGAGCCCAAGCACACCACACACAGAUGGCCCAGGGGACACGAUAUCACUGUGAUGUCUAGGACCUGUCGUCUCCAGAGAACAAACUACUAAAGUCUGAGAAUAGGGUAGUGUUAACUAAGGGUUCUGCCAAGAAACACCAGCAUAUGACAGACCUUUUUCAGCCGUCACUACAUCAAUUGCUGAUUGGAGGUCUUAUGUUACAAGGUUGCCACUUGGCAGCCAUCUGCUAGAGUCAGAUGUUAUGCCUGGGGUCUCGAGUGUACCUGACUGCCCAUGGUGUCACACGGGGAAGGGGAGAAUAUAAGACUGGUGGUGGCUGUUUCCUGGGUCAUACCUGGUCACAGAGAGCACCUCUGGCCCUCCUUGCAGAGUAGCCCAGCUUAGCAGGACACACAGACCCUAUACCCACACCUUUACCUUGUACAUCUUCAGGAACCAGUAACGGAAUUGUGAACCUCCUCCAGGACACCCAGGGACCAGAAAAAUGUCCUACCUCUACGAGCAAAUGCUCAUUGCUGAGGGGGAAUAGGUACCCCAGCAAACCCACCAAGCCUUGGGCAUAUUGGUAGAGGGAUUCCUUAGUCUACAUCCUAUGAAAGACCCAUGUAGUAGGAGAAAACAGUCCUUGCUGGGUACUUUGGCUCUGGGAUCUUAUCUUCAAUAUCGACACUUCCCAGUGGCCUCAGGAACCCCAGAGGCCCCCAUAAGUCCCUGUCCUUUACAAACUUCUCCUAUAAAACCUACGGUUAUAUAAUAGCAACGAGUCUGCCACACACUGCUGUAGCAUCAAAGAAAACAAAGCCCGGUCCCUAUUCCAGGCUCCUGCCCUUCAGCCAUCAAGAAUGUGAAGAGAAGCCACCAUGCAGAGCAGGGUGGGAGAGGAAGAUGGAGGAACUGAAUGGGCCAGGCCUGUCACCCAAGGAUCUCUCAACUCCCCUUUCCCUCUCUUGGUUAAAAAAGAUACAGUCUUUUAUAUAACUUGGGUGACUGAAACUUGACUAUGUGGUCCAGGCUAGCCCAGGCUAGCCUUGACUCAUGAUCUUGCUGCCUAAGCCAUGGGAGUGCUAGGAUUACAGACAAGCAUCACCUCAUCUCUCUGUAGUUAGAAUUCUCCAAUUUUGGGUUGUUGUUUGGUUGGUUGUUUGGUUGGUUGUUUGGUUGGUUGUUUUUUGGUUUUUCCAGACAUGGUUUCUCUGUGCAGUCCUGGUUGUCCUGGAACUCACUCUGUAGACCAGGUUGGCCUGGAACUCAGAAAUCCAUUUGCCUCUGCCUCCCAAGUGCUGGGAUUAAAGGCGUGCGCCACCACCACCCAGCUGAAUUUUGGGUUCUUUAAACACACACACACACACACACACACACACACACACACACACACACACACACACACGGAAAUAAUAACGUUUUUGUUUUAAUCCCAGGUGUGGGAUAUGGGGCUGCUUCAGACUGUCCACAGCAGCUGACAAUGAUUUGCCUCAUGCUCUAGCAAGGGUGUGAUUUUUCCAGCUGCCGAUAGUUUUUGAAAUUGGAUGACAUUUGGAAUUUGGGGGACUUUUCAGAGGUUAUAUAAAUGUUAGGGCCCCAAAAGGUACGGUGGGUUGUUGGUGGGUCGUUGGUUUCAGUUUGUUAAGUAGUUGCUCACAAAAAAAAACAGAAACAAGACAUUAGAUAUCUUGAUGGUGAAGAACAAACUUGCCUCAAGGAACACAACACCCCUAACCAGAGGAAGUGGUCUGAUGAUAGCAUCGCCCCCUUUCCUUUCUAUCAUUUUUUCUCUCCUACUUAGGGAGAUGAAAGGGUGGCAAAAAAGGGGUGGAGAAGGGUGGAAGAAAGAAGAACCCACAAAGUAGCCAAAGACAGGCUAGAUGUCUCUACUAUACCCCUGUCACAGUGACUGCAGUGGUGAAGAACCAUGGACCCCACUGGACUAAACACUGUCCCUAUUGUGCCUCCGCAUAAAAAUCUACUUCUGGGAUCUGUCUCUAAAGAGUUGUGAACUUUCCUCAGCUGCUCUGGUGGCUGCCGGCUGCCAUUUGUUUUGAAGCAAAGGACUGCUCUGAGACAGAGACCUAAGCCACAAGACCUUCAGUUACCCACCCCAGCAUGAGAGACAGCAUAAGUAGUCCCUGGGGUCUACAUGUAAGGUCUCUAGCAUAUGGGAGCAAUCCCUUGGCCACUUGAAGGCCACAGGUUAGUGGGUAGGGGCACAGGUCUGACCCAGAUCUGAGGGCCAAGUCCACUUCCACAUCCUGUAGCCUUGAGAAUCAUACAUGUUUCUGACUUUGUAAAGCUCCAAGAUGAUGAGACACAGCAAAGCAGCUAGCACUUAGUAGGACCAGUGAGAUGGUGGUGGUGGUGGUGGUAGUGGUGAGCCUGUCUUGCCAUCUGGUGAGCCAAGGCAGAGGCUGGGCAGAUCAACUUGACAAGUGGUGAUGGAGUACCAUCUAUUACCAUCAGGGUUUUGGGGGACUCAAAUUACUCCACCAAUUUGAAGCUAAUCAGGGUGGAGGGGCUGAGGGGCUCCCCAGGGGCUCUGGCAGUGUAAGCAAUGCCUGCAAUCAGCCACCCGCCACUUGACCGCCACUUGACCGCAAGGGGCCUUUCCUGACUUGUGUCUCUGGGAGCUGUGUGUUACCCAGCAUGCACUUAUUUAUAUUUAAGGAGGCUCUGCCUAUGUUACCUAGAUUCCUGGUGAUGCUGUGGUUCCAAAAGAGGGCCAGGUGUGGACUAAGAGUGGCCCUGAAUUGUAAGACUCUUCACUUCUCGGGGGUUCCAGAAGAGCCUGGACAUGUCAAUAGCUACAGUAGCCACUGAAGAUGUGGCUGCCAGCCAAGGAUUGCUCCAGUUUUAGGUUAAAGUAUGUAUAUAUAUUGUGCGUAUGCCUGGGUCCGUGUGCCACCGCGCAUGUGGGAUAACUGUGGAGGUGAUUUUCUUCUUCCACUCUAAGGUGAUCGAAUUCUGUCCUCGUGACUGAGCCACCAGGCAUGCACAGCAAAGUCCCUUUCUUACUGAGACAUCUUGUAGGCUCUAUUUUUAAAAAAAAAAAUUUUUUUUUUGAGACAGGGUUCAUCUACAUAACUGUUCUAGAGCUCCUAACUGUUGUGUGGAUCAGGCUGGCCUUGAGCUCACAGACGUCCUCCUGCCUCUGCCUCCUGAGUGCUGGAUUAAAGGUGGGUGCCACAACGACGGAAUCUGUUUUAUUUCUUGUACAACCCUACGCUACAGGUCAUUCCUGGUCUAUAAAUGAGGGAAAUGAGACUCAGACAAGAAUCGGUUUGCUCAGGGCUACCUAGCUGGUAAGCAGGUGAGCUAUGAUUUUAAUGUAGGGUUGUCUGACUCCACUUAAGGCUUUAGCCCAGGGCGCUUUCCUGGUCCGGGCACUACUGUAGCAGAUUUCCACAAACAGGAUUGCUUGAAAACAACCCAAAUUUCUCAUCUUACAACUCUGAGAGUCCACGUAGUGUUUACUGGAUUACAAUCAGUCUGUCCUCAGGCUGAAUUCCUUUUUUUUGUAGGGCGCUUAAAGGGGGUCACCUCAUCUUUUUCAGUUUCUAGAGGCUUCCACAUCCCUAGGCUGUGGACAUCUUUCCAUUUCCAGAACUGGCAGUGGUGGACUGGAUCCUCUUCACAUCACAUGACAUCACAUCCAUGACUGUUGUUCCUGUUAACAUGUCAUCUCUCUCCUCCCUCCUUUUCCACUUUCAGGGCCCCCUGUGACAAACUGCAUCCACCCACUUGGCACUAGAAUGUCUCGUUUUUUUAAUGUCAGAUUUCUAGCAACCUUAGUUCCUUUUGCCUACGACCUUAAGUCAACAGUUCCCAAUGUGUGGGCUGAGAUCCUUUUGAGGGUCUAAUGACUCUAUCACAGGGGUCACAUAUCAGAUAUUUACAUUAUGAUUCAUAGUAGCAGCAAAAUCACAGUUAUGAAAUCGUAAUGAAAUAAUUUUAUGGUUGGGGGUCACCACAACAUGAAGAAAUAUAUUAAAGAGUCACAGCAUUAGGAAGGUUGCCUUAAGUCUCUGCCAAGGCAACACCAUCACAGGCCUUGGGAUGAGGAACAAGACAUUCUGGGUUGGGGAAACGAAGACAAGAGUCCCAGAUGUUGUCCUCUGCCUCAGCCCCAAUCAGGACAAGGUCUAAAGCCUUAAAACAAGCCAUGUGGACCAAUCAUAGAUGUGUGGGCAGGGUGGGAAUGAUGGAGCCUCUGGGUGGAGGUGAGUUUUGAGCUGUGUUCUGAGAGCCAAGCAAAAUCCUGGGGAGUGAAGCCAGGAGGAGAUUCCUCAGCCUCUUAGCACCCUGUGAUGUGUGACCCAACUUGUAACCCACCUGUCUUCCAGCCUCUGUUCCUCUUCCCUACAUAACCCUCACCAUUAUUUGCAUUUUCUUCUUCCCAAUCUUUGAAGGCCACUCCUUUUCCCAUAUUCAAAAGCAACUGUUGAUGAUCCUAGGGACAGCUGUCUCAGCUCCCCCUGGGUGACUGAAUGUAGAGUCCAGCCCUUGUCUGGACUCACAGCUAGAGAGAUGGCCCAGUGGCUGGGAGCACUUGCUAUGCAAUCCUGAGGGGCAGAGUUUGGACCCCUUGGAUGUAACAAGGCAAGCAUCUGGCUAUGCGUGAGAGCACAUGCUUUUAGUCCCAGAACUUGAGAAGCAAACACAAAUGGAUCUCUGUGAGUUUGAAGCCACUGGUCUACACAGUGAGUUCCACAAUGCUUGCACUACAUAAUGAGACUCUGUCUUAAAACACAAACCAAGCAAACAAAAACAACCCUGAGCCCUUGGCGAGAUACUUCAAUACUUUAGAGCAAUGACUGCUCUUCCAGAGGACCCAGGUUCAAUUCCUACAACCAUCUGUAACUCCAGGACGGGGGAAUCUGACACCGUUUUCUGGCCUCCAAGUGCUCCAGGCACACAAGUGGUGCACCCACAAACUUGUAGUCAAAAGAACCAUACACAUAAAAUAAAAACAUUUUAAUUAGAAAAACACCAAUAACAAGCUGGGCAUGGUGGCAUACACCUUUAAUCUCAGCACUCGGGAGGCAGAGGCAGGCAGAUUUCUGAGUUCUAGGCCAGCCUGGUCUACAAAGUGAGUUCCAGGACAGCCAGGGCUGUACAGAGAAACCCUGUCUCGAAAAACCAACCAACCAACCAACCAACCAAUCAAACAAACAAACAAACAAAAAAACCCAAUAACAACAAAAUCUAGGUAUCCACAAAUAUCUGUGCAAGAAAAUAAUAGGGUCUGUUUAAAAAACAAAAACUAGCUUGGGUCCCAGCAACAAACAGAAAGCAUUGGUUUCCUACUGAUGCCUACUACUCUAGCUACCCCUACCCAGAUUAGACAUUUAGAGCAGCAAAGUAUUAACAGCCAAGUUUUCUUCAUGACCUGCGGAAAUCAUGUACCUGAGAAAUCAAAAUAAGAAAGAAAAAAAAAAAAGCAGGAUGUGAAAUGUCCAAAUAAACCCAUCCAUGGCCUUCAUUAUAAUCUAGGCGAAAUAACUAACAGACUAACAGACUAACAGACAGGAUAGACUUUAUCCCCACCCCCAUUACACAAUCAAUUGAGGUCAGUGAGGAAGGGGCCCACGUUCAGGUUAUUAAACCUGUUUUCUGUCCUCAAUUGGUGCACUGGCCACUUCUUUAGGUUGGUGCUCAGCAUUACAAGGCUGUAAUAUUCAAUAUAAGCUGCCUCGCUUUUAUUAAACACUCUGCAUUGACAGCACUUAUGCUUAUAAGUGGGGAGUCUUUGUUCCUCACCACCUGUAACUCCAGCUCUACCCUGGCUUAACAUACACACACACACACACACACACACACACACACACACACACACGCACACGCACACGCACACACACACACACACACAUGGGAAUGAAUCUGGGAGGCUGUGUUUUCAGCAAUCCCUCUGGGUGGUUAUGACACAUACCUAAAUUUUCCGGCCCAGCUGUGAUACCAGUUCCUCUAUGCAGCCCUUCCUGAGCCCAGAGAGCAAACCAAUCUCCCUUCCACUCCUACACCAUCUUUCCCUGAGACUUCUUUGUCCUUCCCUCGAGGACUGACCUGCAAUUCUAAAAGGUGAACCUGUCCUCACAUUAUGACUGUGAGAGCUAGUCUAGGGCACCUCAUACAGAAAGAGGUGUAACGGGGUUCCAAUGUCAGGUGAGCGCAAAGUGAGGGGACACAGGAUGUGCUUGCGUGCCUUGAGCUAGACACUGGAUUUUUUUCACAGGCUGCAACCCUGUGGUGCAUGGUGACUUCUGGAUGCCCACACCCUUCUUCAUUAUCUCAACCCACUGACCUCUGACUUAUAUUCUCAGCCUCCCACUUCACCUGUUACACAGCUAGCUCUGUGAUAGAGGACCUGGGUCCAUUUUGCCCUCUACUAAGAAAAAUGUACACUAGCUACUUCAAGUGUUAGAGCGAAUGAGCGACUCAACACUCAUAUCUUCUGCAGCCUGUUUGAAGUCUGGUGUGGCUGAAACUGAAGCCAGAAGUUGACAAACUCAGGGAGACAGACAGGCUGUGGAUGAGAGAACAGGAAGAGGGGAGUAGAAGGCCCUCCUCCCAGGUCCUGGUGGGCUCUGUGAUAGCCUGACCAGUAGAAUUAAGUGGAAACAGUAUUGUUCCAGCUUCCGAGUGCAGCCUGAAGGAAUGGACAGCUCCCACUCCUUAUCUCUGCAGAGAGUUGCUGUUGCAAUUUAGGUGCUAAACUGGAGGGCACUCGCCAACCAAGACAAGAAGUUACAGCCCCGGGUGAACUUCCAAUUGACAGCUGGGACAAGACUCCUGCUAUAUAAGUGUGUGAUCCAAUGACAGAUGGGCCAUCUGUCUGAUUCACAAGCAGAGAGCACCCAUGGCUCUAAACUAAGCCCUUCCUAACAGUCUUUUUGAGCAACAUAAACAAGUGUUCUGAGCCUUAUUUGUUGUUGGUUGUUUGUUUGCUUGCUUGUCUUGUUUAUUUAGAGACAUAUAAUACUUUCUAUCAGUUCUUUGAGAAUUUAACACAAGUUACUCUGAUCACAUUCACCUCCAUUUUCCCCUUCCCCAACUCCUUCCAGAUCCAUCUCCACCUACCUAUCUCUCCUCCAGGUUCCUGCCCUCAUUUCUCUGUGCCCUAUUGAAUGCAAUUUGUGCUGUCUUAUUGAAGCUGCCCUUUACUCCUGUGUCUUCCAGCAUUAGCUGCAGGGACUACUAUACUGUCAACUGAUGAAGGAUUUGAAUUCAACCUUCUUCAAUCUUGCUAUCCCCUAUCAACAGUUAUUCUGAUUCUUCGGCCACCCAGAGGUAUCCUUCCCAACCCCCUCACAGCAAGACAUGCCCAAGGCCUCUGGCACAUUGGCACCAAACCAGUGCUGAACCCCAGAAGGCUUGCUGCCUUAGCGCCUGUCACGCUUUCGUCCACCUGUUCCUUCAUCCAGACCUGGGACACAGCUUUUUCUCCCGGACAUUUGAUUCCCAGAGGGGAUUUAAGCGUUCAGACCAGCAAGUGUUAUUAUUGCUCCUGCUGACUGGCAGUGGGCCAGCUCCACCCAACCUCCCCUCCCCGCCCUACCCCCCAGAGCAGAAGGUAAGGACAUGAGAAUUGUUUGGGUCUCAGCGUUUGAGCUCUGAGCCUGUUGGAAGAAGGGCCACGAAGACUCGAGUGUGAAUAGAAAAGGACCCCAAUGCAAUCUUUAGAUCACCAGAACUGGGUAAAUGAAGGGUUAGAGGUCUCAUACUUUUUUUUGAGGGUGAAGAAAUUACCAGGUGGCCACGGAGCCAGCCGCGGGGGCGGCUGCUAAACCCAGUGGCGACCACAUAAAGAGACACUGGACCCAGGAGAGGGACCCGGGGCGCUGGCGCUCCAGGGCAGACAUUCCCUGCUGACUUCGGUCACAGUCAAUUCUGCGGGUUCACCGCACGCAUACGGUGGUGUUUGGGGGUGUGCCCGCCUCUUGUGCCGCCGCUCCCGCAUCCUUUGCUGGCCGGCCCGGAGCGCAAGCACACCCGACCCUGCGCUCCGGAGCAGGACUCAGAACCCAGCAGACCUCGCUUCUCCCGACCCUGGUAAGCCAGCGACCAGUAACCAUGGCAAAAGGAAGGAGCCUGGCUCGCGGGAACACAUACCUGUGCAGCGACAGUCUGGGACGCGGGCCUGAUGUCCUCUGGUGCAGUGCGUGCGCCUCCUGGAAAGGCUGGGGACUCCUGCAAGGCACGCAGGUCCCUUUCUCCUAGCCACUCUGGGCCACGUUGUGCGAGAUUCCUCCCGCUCCCAACCCUAGUCAGGCACAGCCAGACCUGUCGGUCCACGCCCUGCAGCUCACACUGACCGCAAGCCACAGAUGAGGCGCCUGCUAGAAGGGCCGAGGUGGCCUGAGCGCUCGCCGGUCCCGGAGGUGCAGCACCCCCAUCCCCCUCCCUGCUAGCAUCCUGACCUAGAGACUGGCUCUGCGGAAGAAGCCAAGCUGCUGAAGCACUAGGGGACUUCUUCAGCCACAGGCGCUCCCAGGGACGCUGAAACCCAACGUGGGAAGCUGGGAGGAAGGUAGAGAGCCUUUCUGCGUUCAUCUUCGGUCUCUAACGUAUCCACUCAUUAAAUGAGGAGGAGUCUGGAAGCCGCAUGGCUCAAGGUCAACCGUCCUCCCUCGGCGCGCGCCCGCCCGCCCGCAGCUGCGCUUUCCCGGACUGCGUCCACUCUACCCGCGAGCGGUGGAGCCACUCACCUCUCUCUGGUGGGCACGGAAGGCACGCAGCUCGCAAGGCGAGGGCGUGGCGCAGGUCCGAUGGAGGCAUGGCAUCCACCCGCACCGACCGGACCUGAGUGAGCGCAGGCCCCACGUGGGGCGGCGCUGGCCAGCUCUCCCCUCACCGCCCCGCAGUGGCCUGAGGAGAGUACAGUCUUCACAGCGGCUGGUGAUGGAGGGACCCAAAUCCCUUCCCCUAUUUUUUUUUUUUUUGAGGUCAGUCUAAAGCUGGAAGGAUGAGGAAGAGAAACUGCUGCAGGAGCAUUCGGGUACCUCAGUUUCAGGUUGGGACCGCCAGUCUCACUUCCUGUCCCUGUUCUUUUGGUUUGGGACCUUCUGUCCCUCCCUUCCCUAGCCCACUCCUCAGAGGUGGCGAUACAGGUGAGGCUGGAGUUGGCCCAUUCUGGCUCCUGAGGGCAGAAGGGUGAACUGUGCCAACCAGUUGUUAAAGAUGGCCCUUACAGAAGGUAAAUGUAUCAAGCUAUGAUUAAACAAUGUAAUAAAGAUCACAAAAAGUCAAAAUCCA